CGGAGAUUAGCUCAGUUGGUAGAGCACCUGUCUUAUACACAGCAAGUCGCUGGUUCAAACCCAGCAUCUCCGA
rnacentral:tRNA from 1 species